GUGAAUCAUCGAAUCUUUGAACGCAAAUUGCACUCUCUGGUAUUCCGGGGAGUAUGCCUGUUUGAGGGUCAGUUUAAAUUAAAAAUCGAGGUGUUGCUUUUUUUUUGACGCAUCGUAGUUGGGUUUUCUUUGUCUUUUGGUUUUUUUAAGUAACCUAAACUUGUUACUUUGUGCAUCUCAGCCGUACAUAAAGAUUUUUUUUUUUUUGUCCGUCCGUU
rnacentral:misc_RNA from 1 species